rnacentral:rRNA from 1 species
UACGUAGGGAGCGAGCGUUACUCGGAAUCACUGGGCAUAAAGGGCGUGUAGGCGGGUGCGCAAGUCCGAUGUGAAAUCCACCGGCUCACCCGGUGAAGUGCAUUGGAUACUGCGUGUCUGGAGUGUGGGAGAGGAGAGUGGAACUCUUGGUGGAGCGGUGAAAUGCGUAGAUAUCAAGAGGAACGCCGGUGGCGAAAGCGGCUCUCUGGCCCAUUACUGACGCUGAGGCGCGAAAGCUAGGGGAGCAAACGGGAUUAGAUACCCCGGUAGUCCUAGCCCUAAACGAUGAGCACUAAGUAGGGGAGGUUCCGAUGCCUUCCUUGCUGUAGCCAAUGUGUUAAGUGCUCCGCCUGGGGAGUAUGGUCGCAAGGCUGAA